rnacentral:sRNA from 1 species
GAUUGAUAGACAGUAUCCCUUCUACUUUUAUCCAAAAAACCUGACCUGGAGAGAGAGUCAUCCUGAUGCCAGCAGGACCGUGAGUCAAUGGCAGAACAACAGGGAAAUAGCCCAGAGUCUCAGGACGUGCUCCAUGGGGGAUUUCAGCCAGUGCCUCAGGAAAUUGUUGACAGACUCCAGAGAAGUGCCAAGAUCAACAAUAACGACCUUGGAUCCCACCCAGCCUUCAUCUGCCACCCAGAUUCCACCCACAGUGGACAGUGCCUCAUCUGUGUUUACCACCUGCAGUCAAAAUAUAUUUGUAUUGAUUCUGUGUUUAGCAAUAUUAAUCAUCAAUGCAUUGA